UACGGAGGGUGCAAGCGUUAUCCGGAUUUACUGGGUUUAAAGGGUGUGUAGGCGGGGCUUUAAGUCAGUGGUGAAAUCUCCGAGCUCAACUUGGAAACUGCCAUUGAUACUAUCGAUCUUGAAUUUUGUUGAGGUAGGCGGAAUAAGUCAUGUAGCGGUGAAAUGCAUAGAUAUGACUUAGAACACCAAUUGCGAAGGCAGCUUACUAAGCAAAUAUUGACGCUGAGGCACGAAAGCGUGGGGAUCAAACAGG
rnacentral:rRNA from 1 species